rnacentral:ncRNA from 1 species
UUUGCGGGGGUGUUGCGUUUAUUGCGUGAAGCUUGGUCCGGUGUGCGCAUCCCGGAACCUCGCGUCUGCAAG